rnacentral:lncRNA from 1 species
GAGAGGGAAAAAAGCAACAGGAGUCCAUCCCAUUCUCUUGAGACAACAGGUUCACUGAUCACAGAGAAAAUUUCUUUUCCCUCAGAGUUUAGGCACCUUCAGGUCUGUGCUGUCACCAAUAUCCUUACUGCUACUGCCAUGGAGCAGGGAUUCAAGAUAACCAAAGGAAGACAAAGGUAAAGAAAAAUAAGAAGUUUUCUCCACUCUCUCUGAGCACUCAAAGAUUGUUUUUUUCACAUCUUGAGCCAGAACUAGAAGACUUCCAUUGCUCUCUCUCUUUCUAUAUCAAUACCCACUUCUGGGAUUCAGGCUUCCUUGGACCCAGGCUGGCAGAUGGAGAGCAAAAAAUGAAAAUACAGAAUUAUCUACAAUAGCCAAGAAGUGGAAGCAACCCAAGUGUCCACCAAACGACAGAUGGAUAAAGAAAAUGAGGUAUAUACACACAAUGAAAUAUUAUUUGGCCUGCAAAAAGAAAGAACUCCUGCCAUUUGCAACAAUAUGGAUCAACCUGGAAGACAUAUUCACUUAUGUUAAGUGAAAUAAGCAGGCACAAGAAGACAAAUAUUGCACAAUUACACUAUAUGGGGAAAUCUAAAUAACUCAUAGAAGUAGAGAGUAGAAUAAUGACUACCAGAGGCUUGGGGAGAAAAAAAGGGAGAAAAAUGAGUUGUUGGUCAAAGCUUACAAAGUUUUAGUCAGACAGGAGAAAUAAAUUUUUAAAUCUAUUGCACAGCUGGGUGACUGUAGUCAAUAACAAUGUAUUAUUCAUCUCCAAAUAAGUAAGAUGGCAUAUUUCAAAAUAAACAAGAUGCUGAAUUUCAAACAUCUCAACACAAAGAGUUAAGUGAGAUGAUGAAUAUGUUAACUUCAUUUUAUCAUUCCACCUUGUACACAUAUUACAUGAAUGUAUACAGCUGUGAUUUGUCAAUUUUUUAAAAAUUUAAAAGAGAAAGAGUCAUGGAAUUAGAGUAAGAAAAACCAAAAGAAGAAGGAUAAAUCAAAGAGAGUGAAGAAAGAGGAAGAGAAAGAAGAGAAAACAGAGAAAGGGAGAAACAGAUUAAGGGAGAGAAAGUGAAUACAGCGAGGAAGAAAAUUUUACAUAUAUACAUACACUCAUAUACAUUAAUUUAUGCAUACUAGUUGGCUAUAUAUAUAUUUGUGCAUUCUUUUCUAUACGUAGAAGAUUGGAAGAUGAAGCUGAGAAAACAUCUCAGCAUGCACAAUUAAAAAAAAAAUGAAUGAAAAUAGAAGAAACUUAAGAUUAUGAGAGCAACCCAUGAAGUCCAACAUCUGAAAAAUGAGAGUUACAGAAGAAAAAAUGGACAAAAGAGACAUGGAGAUCAAAUUAUCAAAGCAAUUAUACAUUUUCCCAUAAUUGAAUGACAUGACUUUGCAGGUUAAAAGGCUCACCAACUGUCUGUUAUGAUAAUUAAAAUAUGACUCCACAACCAGUAAUGGAUUAAAUAUAUCCCUAAAUCUUCUAGUGAGAUAAAAGAGGUCAAAUACAAAGGAAAUAGGCUUUGAACUCCUUUACAGCAAGUUUGGAAAUAAGAAAACAAGGAAUGAAUGUUUGCAAAAUUUUAACAACUAAUCGUCUCCAACUUUGAAUUCUAUACACAGCCAUUGGACCAAACAAGGGGACAAAAUGGCAGCAGCCAGCCUGACCAUUCCCUUCCCAUCAUGAGGGAGAGGGCUGUGGUAUGGACAGCAGCAGCUGACUGGCCACAGGUGCAGCCACUGCCAUCCAGCCCCGACUCAUUCCUAGAAUAAGAACCACCAGACUGCCCUCUGACACCUGCCUCAGCGGUCCCCACCACUCCUCAAACCCUGUCACCGUCCACAGACAAGCCCUGGAGGGGUGGGGAAAAGGUGGGGCUCUGGGGCUUCUUUUUCAGAGAUGGGAGGUGCACAGGCUGGGGAGGAACCCCCAGAGUAUGCAAUCUUUUAGGACUGGCUUCUUUCACUUAGCAGUAUGCAUUUAAGAUUUUUUAUUGUUGUUGUUUGGGGUUUUGUUGUUGCUGUUGUUGUUCUUGUUGUUUCUUUUGGUUGUUGUUGUUGUUGUUUUGAGACAGGGUCUCACUCUAUCGCCCAGGCUGAAGUGCAGUGGUGCAAUUAGGCUCACUGCAACUUCUACCUCCCAAGUUUAAGCCAUUCUCGUGCCUCAACCUCCACAGGAGCUGGGAUUAUAGGUGCGCACCACCAUGCCUGGCUACAUUUAAGGUUUAUACAUAUAUAUAUUUUGUGUGUGUGUGUGUGUGUGUGUGGCUUGAUAGCUUACUUUUUAACUUCUGAAUAGUAUUUCAUUGUAUGGAUAUGCCAUAGUUUGUUUAUUCAUUCACCUGUUGAAGUUUUUGGUGAUUAUGAAUAAGGCUGCUAUAAACAUAAGCAUGCAGGGUUUUGUACAGACAAAAGUUUUUAACUCAAUUGUUUAAUUACCUAGGAGCGUAAUUGUGGGACUGGAUUGUAACAUUGUCUUUAGCAUUGUCAGAAACUGCUAAACUGUCUUCUGAGGUUUCAAUGUUAUUUUACAUUUCUAAUAGCAAUGAAUGAGAGUUCCUUUUGCUCUCCAUCUUUGCCAGUAGCUGGUAGUGCCAGUUUUUUGUUUUUAUUUUAGCCAUUCUAAUGGGUGUGUAGUGGUAUUUCAUUAUUGUUUAAUUUGCAAUUUUCUAAUGACGUAUAAUGUUGAGCAUCUUUUCACACGUUUGUCUGCCUCUAAAUGUCUUCUUUGGUAAGGUUUCUGUUCAGAUUUUUUGCCUAUUUCUUAAUUAGGUUGCUUAUUUUCUUUGUUGAGUUUCAAGAGUUGUUUAUAUGUUUUACAAACAAAUUAUUUAUCAGAUAAGGGUUUUGUAUAUAUUUCCUUCUACUUCAUGCCUUGUCUUUUGAUGGUCUUAACAUUGCCUCUCACAGAGCAAAACACUUAAAUUUUAAUAAAGACAACUAUUUUUUUCCCAUGGAUGGUGGUUUUGUGUUACAUUUAAAAACUCACCAAACCCAAGGUCUCCUCGAUUUUCUCCUAUGUUUUCUUCUAGAAG